AUGGAAUUUGGGCUUUCCCAAGGAGCCUUCAGGGUGGAGGUGGCCGCUCCUUCCCUGCUCCAGUGCCGUGUGCGGCGGGAAAAGGGAAUUUUGGGAAUGUGGGGAAGUGGGAAUGACAUUCCUGGUGAUCCCUGGGGGAGCUCAGCUGCACCUGGAGCUUCCCGGCUGUGCCGAGUUCCCUGUUUCCCCUUUUCCCUGUUAUCCCAUUCCGUGUGUGCUCAGCAUUCCCUGUUUUCCCUGUUAUCCCAUUCCGUGUGUGCUCAGCAUUCCCUGUUUUCCCUUUUCCCUGUUAUCCCAUUCCGUGUGUGCUCAGCAUUCCCUGUUUUCCCUGUUAUCCCAUUCCAUGUGUGCUCAGCAUUCCCUGUUUUCCGUUACCCUGUUCCAUGGGUGCUGAGCGUUCUGUGUUUUUCCUUUUAUUCCCAUCCCCAUUAUCCCGUGCCCUGUAGUUAUCCCAUUAUCUGUUACCCCAUUCCCUGUUAUCCCAUUCCAUUAUCCCAUUCCCUGUUAUCCUGUUCCCCAUUAUCCUAUCCCCAUUAUCCCAUCCUUGUUAUCCUGUUCCCUGUUAUCCCAUUCUGUUAUCCCAUUCCCUGUUAUUCUGUUGCCAUUAUCCUGUUCCAUGUUUUCCCAUUCCAUGUUUUCCUGUUCCCUGUUACCCCGUUCCUGACCCCAUUAUUCCCGGUGAUCCCGUUCCCAGAGGGUUUAUGGAAUGUGGGCACAGUGUGGAUGCUCUGUGUAGGGUUGAGGCCCAUUCCUGACCCCAUUCCUGACCCCAUUCCCGCCAAUCCUGUUCCCAGAGGGUUUAUGGAAUGUGGGCUCAGUGUAGAUGCUGCAGGUGGGGUCAGGGCCCAUUCCUGGCCCCAUUCCUGACCCCAUUCCUGACCCCAUUCCCGCUGAUCCCGUUCCCAGAGGGUCUGUGGGACGCGGGCUCGCUGAGGGUGCUGCAGGCAGGGUUGGGGCCCAUUCCUGACCCCGUUCCUGACCCCAUUCCCGGUGAUCCCAUUCCCAGAGGGUUUAUGGAAUGUGGGCUCAGUGUGGAUGCUCUGGGUGGGGUCGGGGCCCAUUCCUGACCCC
rnacentral:lncRNA from 1 species